rnacentral:rRNA from 1 species
UACAGAGGUGCCAAGCGUUGUUCGGAAUUAUUGGGCGUAAAGAGCUCGUAGGCGGUUUGUCGCGUCUGCUGUGAAAACCCGAGGCUCAACCUCGGGCCUGCAGUGGGUACGGGCAGGCUAGAGUGCGGUAGGGGAGAUUGGAAUUCCUGGUGUAGCGGUGGAAUGCGCAGAUAUCAGGAGGAACACCGGUGGCGAAGGCGGCUCUCUGGUACGUGACUGACGCUGAGACGCGAAAGCGUGGGGAGCAAACAGG